rnacentral:rRNA from 1 species
GAUGAACGCUGGCGGCGUGCCUAAUACAUGCAAGUCGAGCGGACCAAAGAGAGCUUGCUCCCUGAGGUUAGCGGCGGACGGGUGAGUAACACGUGGGUAACCUGCCUGUAAGACGGGGAUAACUUCGGGAAACCGAAGCUAAUACCGGAUGAUAAAGAGAAACGCCUGUUUCUUUUUUGAAAGUCGGCCUUGUGCUGACGCUUACAGAUGGGCCCGCGGCGCAUUAGCUAGUUGGUGAGGUAACGGCGCACCAAGGCGACGAUGCGUAGCCGACCUGAGAGGGUGAUCGGCCACACUGGGACUGAGACACGGCCCAGACUCCUACGGGAGGCAGCAGUAGGGAAUCUUCGGCAAUGGACGAAAGUCUGACCGAGCAACGCCGCGUGAGCGAUGAAGGCCUUCGGGUCGUAAAGCUCUGUUGUCAGAGAAGAACAAGUACCGGAGUAACUGCCGGUACCUUGACGGUACCUGACCAGAAAGCCACGGCUAACUACGUGCCAGCCGCCGCAGUAA